rnacentral:rRNA from 1 species
AUAUUUGGCAAUGGGCGAAAGCCUGAUCCAGCCAUGCCGCGUGGGUGAAGAAUGUCUUCGGAUUGUUAAACACUUUAAGGUGGGGGGAAGGGCAUUAACCUAAUACGUUAGUGUUUUUACGUAUACGUCCGAAUAAGCACCGGCUAACUUCGUUCCAGCCGCCGCGGUAAUACGAAUGGUGCAAGCGUUAAUCGGAAUUACUGGGCGUAAAGCGCGCGUAGGUGGUUCGUUAAGUUGGAAGUGAAAGCCCCGGGCGCAACCUGGGAACUGCAUCCAAAACUGGCGAGCUAGAGUACGGUAGAGGGUGGUGGAAUUUCCUGUGUAGCGGUGAAAUGCGUAGAUAUAGGAAGGAACACCAGUGGCGAAGGCGACCACCUGGACUGAUACUGACACUGAGGUGCGAAAGCGUGGGGAGCAAACAGG